GAUGAACGCUGGCGGCGUGCCUAAUACAUGCAAGUCGAGCGAACAGACGAGGAGCUUGCUCCUCUGACGUUAGCGGCGGACGGGUGAGUAACACGUGGAUAACCUACCUAUAAGACUGGGAUAACUUCGGGAAACCGGAGCUAAUACCGGAUAAUAUAUUGAACCGCAUGGUUCAAUAGUGAAAGACGGUUUUGCUGUCACUUAUAGAUGGAUCCGCGCCGCAUUAGCUAGUUGGUAAGGUAACGGCUUACCAAGGCAACGAUGCGUAGCCGACCUGAGAGGGUGAUCGGCCACACUGGAACGGAGACACGGUCCAGACUCCUACGGGAGGCAGCAGUAGGGAAUCGUCCGCAAUGGGCGAAAGCUUGACGGAGCAACGCCGCGUGAGUGAUGAAGGUCUUCGGAUCGUAAAACUCUGUUAUUAGGGAAGAACAAAUGUGUAAGUAACUAUGCACGUCUUGACGGUACCUAAUCAGAAAGCCACGGCUAACUACGUG
rnacentral:rRNA from 1 species